rnacentral:rRNA from 1 species
UACGAAGGGGGCUAGCGUUGUCCGGAAUCAUUGGGCGUAAAGGGCGCGUAGGUGGCCCGGUCAGUUCGUGGUGAAAGCGCGGGGCUCAACCCUGCGUCGGCCAUGAAUACUGCCGCGGCUGGAGCACUGUAGAGGCAGGCGGAAUUCCGGGUGUAGCGGUGGAAUGCGUAGAGAUCCGGAAGAACACCGGUGGCGAAGGCGGCCUGCUGGGCAGUUGCUGGACACUGAGGCGCGACAGCGUGGGGAGCAAACAGG